ACCCGCUGAACUUAAGCAUAUCAAUAAGCGGAGGAAAAGAAACCAACAGGGAUUGCCCUAGUAACGGCGAGUGAAGCGGCAACAGCUCAAAUUUGAAAUCUGGCGUCUUUGGCGUCCGAGUUGUAAUUUGCAGAGGGCGCUUUGGCAUUGGCAGCGGUCCAAGUUCCUUGGAACAGGACGUCACAGAGGGUGAGAAUCCCGUACGUGGUCGCUAGCCUUUACCGUGUAAAGCCCCUUCGACGAGUCGAGUUGUUUGGGAAUGCAGCUCUAAAUGGGAGGUAAAUUUCUUCUAAAGCUAAAUACUGGCCAGAGACCGAUAGCGCACAAGUAGAGUGAUCGAAAGAUGAAAAGCACUUUGGAAAGAGAGUUAAAAAGCACGUGAAAUUGUUGAAAGGGAAGCGCUUGCAGCCAGACUUGCCUGUAGUUGCUCAUCCGGGUUUCUACCCGGUGCACUCUUCUAUAGGCAGGCCAGCAUCAGUUUGGGCGGUUGGAUAAAGGUCUCUGUCAUGUACCUCUCUUCGGGGAGAACUUAUAGGGGAGACGACAUGCAACCAGCCUGGACUGAGGUCCGCGCAUCUGCUAGGAUGCUGGCGUAAUGGCUGU
rnacentral:rRNA from 1 species